CCCAGCCUAUUCCUGGAUCUGCCCAUGCCCACCACCUCACAAUGUCAUUGGCUAAUUUAGCAUCCCCUUGACAAAUUUUCAAGUCAAUCCCAUAAUAAUAAACAUGUAUAAAUUAUUUAUGGGUUAGAAGCUAUUUAGUGUAAGCAUAGAUAUCGUCCUUCGGGACCAGUAGUGCAAGAACACUUGACUUGAGCCAUCGGGUUCUUAUUUUCCUUAUAUCGAUAUGCUAUAUCAGUGUGUCCCAAUUCCUCUAGUUAUAAAGAACCAAAUGGGUAAUGAAGUUGCAACAAUUGAUUUCUUUGGGAGUUCCUGUCGGUAUUGAAAACGUUAUUAGUUCCUUGAUUCAUUCCGUGGCGCUAAAUUGCUAUUUCGAUUGGACUGAUCUUUUCUCUCUCUUUCCUUUCUUUCACGAGCAAAUCUGAGAACCAAAGUGUUCCUUUGCAAGGGUUGAGACCAACAUGCGACUUAGGUUAUAGGGUGAGGACCAACACUACGACGUUUGAACAAUUACUUUGCACUCCUUAGUUUUCACAUGCAAAUAAUUAAUGCACAAGUUGUUUAAUAUAAUUCAUGGUUAUCCAUGCACCUCCUUUAUCCUCUGGAGACCACUGCCUAAAUCUUGAGGGAGUUUUCGGUUGAGCAUUAAUUGAAUAUGGUUGUUGAUAUUGCCAAUUGUACCUCGCAUGUGGUUGAGUUGACCCUUUACAUGCAGGUAUUUACAUUCAUCAAUGAUGAUCAAAGUUAAUGAUAAGCAACAUUGCUCUUGAACUUUUGGGAAGAACGACAAGAUUGAAUGAAUCAUGUUACUCAUCAUUACUUGAUUGGAAGAGGCCCAUCAUGAGAUGACCGAGUUGGUGAAGUAAGUGAGCGCGGAGGCCUUUGAUCACGAGUUUAAUUUCCCUUACCAACAUUUUUUUGGUCAAGCAUAUCGUACAGGACUUGUCUAGUGCGAUUUAUCUAGAUGACGUGAUUUGUAGACUAUUAUGUCAGCUUGUGAGUUUAUCCAGUGCACAUUUGAAGGAUAGCAAUUGUAGAUUCUCCAGUCAUUAAAAAAAAACAAAAGGAUUGGAAGGGAGAGAGGGAAAAAAAGAAGUACACUUUAAACUGCUGACUGGAAAAGAAAGAAAAGGCUUUGGUCCAACCACAAUAAGUGGCUUCUAAGUGUC